UAAUAUCUAAGAUGUCCAAACCGCGCACCCAAACAAAUUUAAGUUGCAGCAUGACCUUUGGCAUUGUAUCGAAGAUUUGAUAUUAUAUACACACACACACACAAACAUAUAUAUAUAAUAACAAACAUCGGAGUAGGAAGUAGUCAAAAGAAACAAACAUGUCUGGGUUGGAAACACCAUCUUCUUCCUGGUUGUAUUUCCCUUAAACACUUUUACUUAGCGAGUACACGCUUAUAGAAUAAAGUGACAAAAACAAUAUACCUGCCCAACCAGUUGAAUUUUUUUUUAAAAUUAUUACAGGAAUCUAAAAGAGGGUAUCCAUCUUUUCAAGGCAUAGGACCUUAUACGCUUGCCACGGGUAAAAUUACAGCCAAAAAUAAAUUGUCACGCCUAAUGGAACUGAGCGUCUUUGGUUUCGUUAUGCAGUGCAUGGAGGAGAUUUGACGAGACGGACAAACACCAAGUCACGAGCCGGAUAUUGCCCUAGGGUCGCAGUUUGAACAUCACUUCUCUAAGGUAAAAGAAAGUUCAAAAUUUCAACUUGAUCCGAGAUUGGGUGUAGGAGAAAUAACGUGUACCAACGUUUGACCAGACAGACAGAGUGAGUUGAUAGAAGCUUUGUAGGGUAGGGGUGAGGUUCUUAACGCAAUCGCAUUUACAUCAGCUGAUAAGUUGAUUCUCUUUAUUUCUGGUAAGGCGUAGUGUGAAUAUUAAGUGAAUGAUUUGUUAAUAAUUAGCGUAAAUACACUACUUACUCUUUGUUGAUAAUUUUAUCCUGUUCUUUGGCUGGCGCCGGGUCUACACCGGCUAAAGUACAGGAGGAGAAGGUGGUACUGAUUUCACUCUACCUCUCAUGGCCCUCACUGACAUCAGACACAAAAAAGAGAGAACAGUGAAUGCUAUCAAAGUAUGUCGAGAGGGGGCGCGGUGGUGCGGGCAAAACACGGCAUUGAAUGGGGCAUAGAUAACUAGAAACGAAUUUUGGGCAGGUUUAAAUUCUACAGCUAAACUUUUGUGUUAACAUUACGUUUUUGUAGGCCAAAGUACGAUCUUGUAUACUCUUAAUACGAAGUAGAAUUCAGUUGAUCAACAAGGAAAUUGAGCAAACCUUUAAAUACCUUGGUACUAUCCUAGACAAUAAACUAAAUUUUACUGCAAAUACUGAUUAUAUCAGCAAAAAAGGGCAGCAAAGAUUACGAUUACUAAGAAAACUGUCCUCGUUUAAUGUUAGCGAAAAGGCCAUGGCUAUGUUUUAUCACGCUCACAUCUGCAAUAUUUUAAGUUUCAAUAUCACUGCCUGGUAUGGCAAUCUGAGCAUUAAAAAUAGGAAUAAACUUUAUAGAAUCCUAAUUGCUGCUGGCAAAAUCAUUGGCAAAAAACAAACCCCAUUUGGGCAGUUGUUUGAGACAAACAUCUAUAAAAAAGCUAACAAGAUCCUCGAAAUAAAGAAUCACCCUUUGUGUCAGGAUUUUGUGAUUUUACCAUCACAAAAGAGAUACAAGACACCGAUAGCAAAGACAAACAGACACAAACACUCUUUUGUUCCCCUGGCAAUCAAAUCAUUAAAUAACAACAAUCUGGUAUAAACUUUGUCACAUGUAAAUUAUGAGUGAGUCUGGUGUGAAUGUACACUUUGGUUUCUUAUAGUUAUAAUGUUUUUUGUUUGGUGUAAUGCACAAAUUGUAAGACUAAUUUCCUUACGGAUAAUAAAGAUUAUUAUUAUUA